rnacentral:rRNA from 1 species
UUCCGUAGGUGAACCUGCGGAAGGAUCAUUAACACUAAUCCAAUUCAACUCAACCAAGCCCUCAGUUGCAGCAGUGGUGCGUUCGCGUACAGCUGCUGCAGCAACUUUCAAAACUAAUCCAAACAAAGGAGCCUAACUAAGCUCAACCACUAAAACCAAAUUCUCAACGGUGGAUGUCUUGGUUCCCACAACGAUGAAGAACGCAGCGAAGUGCGAUAAGCAGUGCGAAUUGCAGAACCGUGAGUCAUCAGAUUUUUGAACGCAACUGGCGCCGUGUGGGGUCACCCACCGGCACGCCUGGUCCAGUGUCUUGUUCUCUCCUCACCCAAAUCUUAAUGCGAGAGAUGCCCUUCUCUUGCUAAGCAUGAAAGCACUCUGCGCUCUGCGAGCGACCUCCGGGUCGCACUCAAUGCAGCAGUCACAUUGCUCACAAUGUGAACUCAUUGAGAGUGGAGGCAGUGCAGCAAUAGCUGCCAGUGCUUAGAAACACCAACUUAGGUACAGUAUCUGGGCUCAGGUGGGACUACCCGCUGAACUUAAGCAUAUCAA